rnacentral:rRNA from 1 species
UGGGGAAUAUUGGACAAUGGGCGCAAGCCUGAUCCAGCGAUGCCGCGUGAGUGAUGAAGGCCCUAGGGUUGUAAAGCUCUUUCACCGGUGAAGAUAAUGACGGUAACCGGAGAAGAAGCCCCGGCUAACUUCGUGCCAGCAGCCGCGGUAAUACGAAGGGGGCUAGCGUUGUUCGGAUUUACUGGGCGUAAAGCGCACGUAGGCGGACUUUUAAGUCAGGGGUGAAAUCCCGGGGCUCAACCCCGGAACUGCCUUUGAUACUGGAAGUCUUGAGUAUGGUAGAGGUGAGUGGAAUUCCGAGUGUAGAGGUGAAAUUCGUAGAUAUUGGGAGGAACACCAGUAGCGAAGGCGGCUUUCUGGACUGCAACUGACACUGAGGCACGAAAGCGUGGGUAGCAAACAGG